AUGACUAUAAACUGGCUAAUUCCUGCAGCCAAUCUGCUGUUGGAAGAAUCGGUUGAGGCAUUAAAUGUUCAAGGCUUACGCUCGGCUUCUACCAACGAACCGACCAUUGUUGUGUUUGUUGGCAUGCUGGUCAGUCUAUUUUCAUGUGAAUUAGUGUACUUGCCCAAAGAAAUGCAGUUUGUCUGCAUGGCAAGGACAUGUAGAACUUGCAAAAAUAUAAACGGUAUAUUUUUUGAAUGGUUCAAUGUCAUAGGGUAUGCUAGCAGACAAGUAUACUUCAACUGCGGCAAGACUUUGAUGACGCGGAACCGUCAACAUGUUUGUCUGACCUCGUCGGCGAAAUCCGCUCCAUGA
rnacentral:rRNA from 1 species